UCGUGUCGUGAGAUGUCGGGUUAAGUCCCUUAACGAGCGAAACCCCUAUCCUUAGUUGCCAGCAAUUCGGUUGGGGACUCUAGGGAGACUGCCGGUGUUAAACCGGAGGAAGGUGGGGACGACGUCAGGUCAUCAUGGCCUUUAUGACCAGGGCUGCACACGUCCUACAAUGGUGCGUACAAAGGGAAGCUAAGCAGUGAUGUGGAGCAAAUCCCAUAAAACGCGCCCCAGUUCGGAUUGCAGGCUGCAACUCGCCUGCAUGAAGCCGGAAUCGCUAGUAAUCGCGGGUCAGCAUACCGCGGUGAAUAUGUUCCUGAGCCUUGUACACACCGCCCGUCAAGCCACGAAAGUGGGGGGCACCCGAAGUCGCUGAGCUAACUUUUAGAAGCAGGCGCCGAAGGUGAACUCCGCAAUUGGGACUAAGUCGUAACAAGGUAGCCGUAGGGGAACCUGCGGCUGGAUCACCUCCUUUCUAAGGA
rnacentral:rRNA from 1 species